ACUAGGAUUAGAUACCCUACUAUGCUUAAGCAUAAACAAAGACUAUAUCCGCCAGAAAAUUACGGGCGAAAGCCUAAAACUCAAAAGACUUGACGGUGUCCCACCUACCUAGAGGAGCCUGUUCCAUAAUCGACAACCCACGAUAAACCUAACCACCCUUAGAUUUACCCAGCCUAUAUACCGCCGUCACCAGCCUACCUCUUAAAAGUUAGAAAGUAGGCUAAAUAGUUAUACACUAAUAAGUCAGGUCAAGGUGUAGCUUAUAGGGUGGAGGCAAUGGGCUACAUUCUUUAACCUAAAUUAAACGAACCUUAUCCUGAAAAAGACAGCAAAGGCGGAUUUAGUAGUAAUUUAAACAAGAAUAUUUAAAUUAACACCAGCCCUGGGACAUGUACACACCGCCCUGUCACCCU
rnacentral:rRNA from 1 species